GCAAACUUGGUCAUUUAGAGGAAGUAAAAGUCGUAACAAGGUUUCCGUAGGUGAACCUGCGGAAGGAUCAUUAACAGGAAAGGGUGCCCAGCACCCUAACCCACCCGUGUCUAUCGUACUCUUGUUGCUUUGGCGGGCCCGCCUGACCUUAGGGGAUGGCCGCCGGCGCUUAGGUGCUGGCCAGCGCCCGCCAGAGGAGUUUUAGAACCUGUGUUAACUGUAUCGUCUGAGCGUUAUUAAAUCGUUAAAACUUUCAACAAAGGAUCUCUUGGUUCUGGCAUCGAUGAAGAACGCAGC
rnacentral:misc_RNA from 1 species